AAAAAAACAGUAUAGAAGAUUAAAUGCACAGCUUCUCCUGAACUCCAUUUCCGAAUGUUGCAUAGUUUAUUUCACAAAAAUAUUUUGAUAUGUCAUGUUUAGUUGUGAAAUGUUACUGUAUGUUCUUUUGAGAUUCCUGAUAGUGCAUUAAAUAAUUGAAGUCUUCUGUUUAAUGUUUUAUUCUAAGUCUGGGCGGUAGUUUCUGACCAAAUCAGAUCACAACACUGCAUCUCUAACUAUUUAAGCAUGUAACUGGAAGCAUUUACAUACUGUCCAGUGCAUAUGCAAGAGUGGAAUGUACCUCAAUACACCUGUAUAUUUUUAACAUGUUUUUUCAGUUAUCAGAAGCCAGAACAAACAGCUUAGAGCUGCUGGAAAGAAAUGCAGACCUUCAGAAUCAACUAGAAGACUUAAGAAACAAUUCAUUAUCUAAGAAUUCUAAUACCCAAGAGCAGUACAUUCGAAGGUUAGAACAAGAAAUCACGUUUUCCAAAGAACAGAUUGUGUCAUUGGUAUGUACCCUGCAAUUUCCCAAUUUAAAACACAUUAGAAUGUGAUAAUGUAACUUUUUUACAUAGUAUAAUGAAUGUUUCUUGGGUUCAAUUAAUCUUUAGACAUAGGAGUUUCCAUUAUUAAUUCAUUGGAAAACAUUGCUUUUCAGAAUAUUUUUUUGUACUUACUAAAUAAGAAUGAAC
rnacentral:lncRNA from 1 species